CGAGGUCUAAUACCGGAUACGACCAACUCUUGCAUGAGAUGUUGGUGGAAAGUUUUUUCGGUGGGGGAUGUGCUCGCGGCCUAUCAGCUUGUUGGUGGGGUAAUGGCCUACCAAGGCUUCGACGGGUAGCCGGCCUGAGAGGGUGACCGGCCACACUGGGACUGAGACACGGCCCAGACUCCUACGGGAGGCAGCAGUGGGGAAUAUUGGACAAUGGGCGGAAGCCUGAUCCAGCAACGCCGCGUGAGGGAUGACGGCCUUCGGGUUGUAAACCUCUUUCAGCGGGGACGAAGCGCAAGUGACGGUACCCGCAGAAGAAGCACCGGCCAACUACGUGCCAGCAGCCGCGGUAAUACGUAGGGUGCGAGCGUUGUCCGGAAUUAUUGGGCGUAAAGGGCUCGUAGGCGGUUUGUCGCGUCGGGAGUGAAAACACCGGGCUUAACUCGGUGCUUGCUUUCGAUACGGGCAGACUAGAGGUAUUCAGGGGAGAACGGAAUUCCUGGUGUAGCGGUGAAAAUGCGNAGAUAUCAGGAGGAACACCGGGUGGNGAAGGCGGGUUCUCUGGGGAAUAUCCCUGACGGCUGAGGGAGCGAAAGGUGUGGGGGAGCGAAAC
rnacentral:rRNA from 1 species